rfam:Phytophthora infestans T30-4 supercont1.81 genomic scaffold, whole genome shotgun sequence.
GACAGCUUCGCCGCGUGGUUAAGGCGAUAGACUAGAAAUCUAUUGGGGUAACCCGCGUGAGGUCAAAUCUCACAGCUGUCG